rnacentral:rRNA from 1 species
CAGUAGCCGCGGUAAUACGAAGGGUGCAAGCGUUAAUCGGAAUUACUGGGCGUAAAGCGUGCGUAGGCGGUUUGUUAAGUCUGUUGUGAAAUCCCCGGGCUCAACCUGGAAUGGCAAUGGAUACUGGCAAGCUAGAGUGUGUCAGAGGAUGGUGGAAUUCCCGGUGUAGCGGUGAAAUGCGUAGAGAUCGGGAGGAACAUCAGUGGCGAAGGCGGCCAUCUGGGACAACACUGACGCUGAGGCACGAAAGCGUGGGGAGCAAACAGGAUUAGAUACCCCAGUAGUCCCUGUCUCUUAUACC